rnacentral:rRNA from 1 species
AUUGAACGCUGGCGGAAUGCUUUACACAUGCAAGUCGAACGGCAGCACGGACUUCGGUCUGGUGGCGAGUGGCGAACGGGUGAGUAAUGUAUCGGAACGUGCCCAGUCGUGGGGGAUAACGUAGUGAAAAUUACGCUAAUACCGCAUACGAUCUAUGGAUGAAAGCGGGGGAUCGCAAGACCUCGCGCGAUUGGAGCGGCCGAUAUCAGAUUAGGUAGUUGGUGGGGUAAAGGCCCACCAAGCCAACGAUCUGUAGCUGGUCUGAGAGGACGACCAGCCACACUGGAACUGAGACACGGUCCAGACUCCUACGGGAGGCAGCAGUGGGGAAUUUUGGACAAUGGGCGAAAGCCUGAUCCAGCCAUUCCGCGUGCCGGAUGAAGGCCCUCGGGUUGUAAACUGCUUUUGUACAGAACGAAAAGGUUUCUACUAAUACUAGGAGCUCAUGACGGUACUGUAAGAAUAAGCACCGGCUAACUACGUGCCAGCAGCCGCCGUA